CCCGAAGUAAAAAGAGUUAAUUUAUCUAAAGUUAGCGUGUUAUAGUUAUUUUUAAGGUAGAUUAGAGGCGACAUGCUAAUCAAUUUUUAUAUAUCUGGUUUAGCCUGUUUAAAUUCAAUUUUUAUGUGGAUUAAAAAAUCUAUUUAAAUACAAUAGAGGGGUAAGCUCUCUAUAAUAGCUAUAUGGUUUUGUUAAAUUAGGUUUAAUAAUCUUUAUUGAUUUUAAUAAAAUUUUAUUACUUUGGCAGGGCUAAACUAUAAAUUUUUGUAGGCGGUUAAUAAUAAAUAUAUUAGUAAUUAUUAAGUAUAUGUUUAGUUAGAUUUAAUUAUGAAUUUAAAUGUUGGCAGACCCAAAAAAGAACUCGGCAAUAUUGGUUUCGCAUGUUUAACAAAAACAUCUCUUGGUGUAAUUUCAAGUAACCUCUGCCCUAUGAAUAGUUUAAAUGGCCGCAGUACUUUGACUGUGCAAAGGUAGCAUAAUCAUUUGUCUUUUAAUUGAAGGCUGGGAUGAAAGAGGCGACGAAAUCCAAACUUUUAGGUUUUAACGUGAAAUUAACAUAAAGGUCAAAAGGCCUUUAUAUAUCAAAGGGACGAUAAGACCCUAUAAAACUUUACUAUAAAAUUAAAUCUCUUUAGGCAAGAUUUACGUUUAUAGUUUAACUGGGGCGGUUUAUAUAUAAACAAUUGAAGUAGAAAAUAUUUAUAUAGAUUUGUAGAGCUCUAAAGGAAAUGAAUAAGUUACUUUAGGGAUAACAGCAUAAUUCUCCUAGAGAGUCCUUAUUGGCAGGAGAGCUUAUGACCUCGAUGUUGAAUUGGGGUGUCUAAUGUAAGUAGAAAUAUAUUAAGAUAGUCUGUUCGACUAUUAAAUUCCCACAUGAUUUGAGUUCAGACCGGCGUGAGCCAGGUUGGUUUCUAUCUUUUGAGAGUUAGUGAUUUAAAUUGUACGAAAGGACCUUUA
rnacentral:rRNA from 1 species